rnacentral:rRNA from 1 species
UGGGGAAUAUUGCACAAUGGACGGAAGUCUGAUGCAGCGACGCCGCGUGGGGGAUGAAGGCUUUCGGGUUGUAAACUCCUUUCAGUACAGAAGAAGCUUUAUUGUGACGGUAUGUGCAGAAGAAGCGCCGGCUAACUACGUGCCAGCAGCCGCGGUAAUACGUAGGGCGCGAGCGUUGUCCGGAAUUAUUGGGCGUAAAGCGCGCGCAGGUGGUUUAGAAAGUCUGAUGUGAAAGCCCACGGCUCAACCGUGGAGGGUCAUUGGAAACUAAUAAACUUGAGUGCAGGAGAGAAAAGUGGAAUUCCUAGUGUAGCGGUGAAAUGCGUAGAGAUUAGGAGGAACACCGGUGGCGAAAGCGGCUUUUUGGCCUGCAACUGACACUGAGGCGCGAAAGCGUGGGGAGCAAACAGG